rnacentral:piRNA from 1 species
UCUUGACCGCACCCUGAAGAUUUGGG